UUUCCAUUAGGCUUUUGGGUUAGGAGUAGGGUUUAGGGUUAAGGGUUAGUUUAAGGUUAGGGUUUGGGGAUUUUAGUUGGGGAUUAUGUUUAGUGUUAGGGAUUAGGGUUAGUGUUAGGUUUUAGGGUUAGGAUUGUGGAUUCGGGUUAUGGUUGUGCUUAGGUUAUGUUCUGCAGUUUUGUAUGGCCCCGUGUUGGUCAGGAAUUGCAUAGCUUUGUGUAUUCAUUUUUAUUCUGUAGCUGUAUUGCAUUUGUCCUGUACUUGUGUAGAAAAUGUGUCUUGCCCUUAUGUACUUGCUUUUUAAAAAAUGUAUAAUUUCUAUAUUAUUAUUUUAUUUAUAUAUUAUUUAUUUUUUAUUUAUGUGUAUUUAAAGUAAUUAGGUUUUUGAGAGAUUGAAAUUAUAUAGGGUCAUGUUAUUUGUUCUGUCACCUGUAUUUCAUUCUAAAGCUCUGUACUUGCACAGACUUUUGUCCAAGGGUGUUUUGCAUUUUGUAGAGUUGUCCUUGGUUUUGUAUCAAUCUGCGUUGAAACCGAUGUAAAACUGUGUUCUCUCAAAUGUACAGAAAUAUAUUUGAGGAAGUAUAACUGAAAUGAAGGACUUCAAAAAGGCUUCUGACUUCAGACAAGUAACAGUGACAUUCCUAAAAAUUACAAACAAGAAGAGUUGUUAAUUAGAAGGGAGGAUAAGUAGAAGCUUUAAAUUGACAGGGUGUGAUGCAUGAGAAAAAGAGGCACAAGAAGCAAAAGAAUGUUCUAACAUCACAAAUGUGGACAAACUGCUGUUCAGAAGAAGGAGGAAGUAGAAAAUAAAACAGCUGAAGGUGCAAUUAGCAGCUUGACUCCCUACUACAUUACCUUAUAUGAAAAAUUGUGGAGAUGUGGAAAAUACAACCUUGCCAAAGUUCUGUUCUUUACAAAAUUGGCUACACUGAGAUUUAGAAACAAUACAUUAGGUGAGUUUCUGCUGCAUAACUUUUUUUAAACAAUUUUUUUUAAAAAACAAUUGAAACUGGCAGUUCAGUAGUUUUCAAUGACAUAUUUAUGGCAAGUUUCAUUUCAAAGAGCAACAAGUAUUUUAUUUUCUGAAAGAGGGGAUGCUAUCAGAACAAAUUACAAGAAUUUUUGGGGUGAUUUAAAAAAAAAAAACAAACAAGAUUUAAAGGUGGCCUCUACCCCCAGCAUUUUUGCCACUCCCUAAAUAAAUACAAAUAGUUUCCCUAAAUAAAUGUGAACAGUUCCCUGCUUUUCACUUGUUUAGAAGGUGGGUGGUGAGGUUCCCUGCCAGGAUUUGAUGUCAGAGAGGCCAAGACAGACUUGGAGCAUGUAAUCAUUGACAUUGAAGGGACUUUUGGAGAUCCUCCAGUCCAAUGCCCUGCUCAAAGCUGAGCAGACAGGUCAGGACCUGCCUUUUCCAGUGUUUG